rnacentral:tRNA from 1 species
GCCCACAUAGCUCAGUUGGUAGAGCACGUCCUUGGUAAGGACGAGGUCACCGGUUCAAAUCCGGUUGUGGGCUCCA